CUUGCUGGGCGGAUUAGUGGCGAACGGGUGAGUAAUACGUGAGUAACCUGCCCUUGACUCUGGGAUAAGCCUGGGAAACUGGGUCUAAUACUGGAUACUACCUCUUGCCGCAUGGUGGGUGGUGGAAAGGGUUUUACUGGUUUUGGAUGGGCUCACGGCCUAUCAGCUUGUUGGUGGGGUAAUGGCUCACCAAGGCGACGACGGGUAGCCGGCCUGAGAGGGUGACCGGCCACACUGGGACUGAGACACGGCCCAGACUCCUACGGGAGGCAGCAGUGGGGAAUAUUGCACAAUGGGCGGAAGCCUGAUGCAGCGACGCCGCGUGAGGGAUGACGGCCUUCGGGUUGUAAACCUCUUUCAGUAGGGAAGAAGCGAGAGUGACGGUACCUGCAGAAGAAGCGCCGGCUAACUACGUGCCAGCAGCCGCGGUAAUACGUAGGGCGCAAGCGUUGUCCGGAAUUAUUGGGCGUAAAGAGCUCGUAGGCGGUUUGUCGCGUCUGCUGUGAAAGCCCGGGGCUCAACCCCGGGUCUGCAGUGGGUACGGGCAGACUAGAGUGCAGUAG
rnacentral:rRNA from 1 species